CCAGAUUAGUGGGAGAGGUUGGGGUGGAUGGAUGGGUCAAACAAACAGGAUUUUCAACCAGGAGACCGCUGUUCAUGUCCCGUGUUAAACCAAAAG